rnacentral:rRNA from 1 species
UACAUGGGGUGCAAACGUUGCUCGGAAUUAUUGGGCGUAAAGCGCACGUAGGCGGUUUGUUAAGUCGGAUGUGAAAUCCCUCGGCUCAACUGAGGAAGUGCAUCCGAAACUGGCAGGCUUGAGUACUAAAGAGGGUCGCGGAAUUCCCGGUGUAGAGGUGAAAUGCGUAGAGAUCGGCAGGAACACCCAGGGGGAAACCAGUCGACUGGGCAUCUACUGACGCUGAGGUGCGAAAGCGUGGGGAGCGAAACCGG